UACGAAGGGGGCUAGCGUUGCUCGGAAUUACUGGGCGUAAAGGGAGCGUAGGCGGGUUAUCAAGUUGGAGGUGAAAGCCCAGGGCUCAACCUUGGAAUUGCCUUCAAAACUGAUAGCCUAGAGUAUGAUAGAGGUAAGUGGAACUCCGAGUGUAGAGGUGAAAUUCGUAGAUAUUCGGAAGAACACCAGUGGCGAAGGCGACUUACUGGACUACAGUGACUGACGUGACGCUGAAGG
rnacentral:rRNA from 1 species